rnacentral:lncRNA from 1 species
AUCACUCCCUAGAUUGUCGAAUUGGUUGGAUCUUUUGAUUCUCUUCUCAAGUGAAUCAAAUAGAUCUAUAGAAGGAUGAUGAAAUCAGAUCAUAUUUAAUUUUUUUUCACUUUUCUCUUCUCAAAAAAAAAAAUCUAAGAUCUACUAAAGAAGAUAAGUGAUCUAAUCUCUUUCUUCUUUUUCUGUCCAACCGUUGGAUUAGAUCUAGAAAAGGUAGAGAACAGUCCAUCUCAUAGAGUAAAAAAAUUAAAUUAGAUCAAAUCUGAUUUAAUCAUGUCCAACUUUUGGAUAUCUUUGGGAGAGAGGAAGAGAGAGACAUGUCCAACUCUUAGACAAG